rnacentral:rRNA from 1 species
AGGUAGUGACAAGAAAUAACAAUACGGGGCUUAAAGUCUUGUAAUUGGAAUGAUGGGAAUUUAAACCUCUUCCAGAGUAUCAAUUGGAGGGCCCCCAAGUCUGGUGCCAGCAGCCGCGGUAAUUCCAGCUCCAAUAGCGUAUAUUAAAAUUGUUGCAGUUAAAAAGCUCGUAGUUGAAUUUCUGCUGCAUUGCUUGUGUCCCUCUGGGGUCUGUGCAUGUGGCUUUUUUCGGACGGAGUUUCUUUGUCUGAAUGUUUACUUUGAGAAAAUUAGAGUGCUCAAAGCAGGCUUUCGCCUUGAAUAGUUUAGCCCCCAUGGAAUAAUAAAGUAGGACUUUGGUUCUAUUUUGUUGGUUUUAGGUACCAAAGUAAUGGUUAAUAGGAACAGUUGGGGGCAUUCGUAUUUAACUGUCAGAGGUGAAAUUCUUAGAUUUGUUAAAGACGAACUACUGCGAAAGCAUUUGCCAAGGAUGUUUUCAUUAAUCAAGAACGAAAGUUAGGGGAUCGAAGACGAUCAGAUACCGUCGUAAAAAAGUCCUAACCAUAAACUAUGCCGACUAGAGAUUGGAGGUCGUCAGUUUUUACGACUCCUUCAGCACCUUGAGAGAAAAAAAAUCAAAGUCUUUGGGUUCUGGGGGGAGUAUGGU